UACGUAGGGUGCAAGCGUUGUCCGGAAUUAUUGGGCGUAAAGAGCUCGUAGGCGGUUUGUCGCGUCUGCUGUGAAAACUCGGGGCUCAACCCCGAGCUUGCAGUGGGUACGGGCAGACUAGAGUGCGGUAGGGGAGACUGGAAUUCCUGGUGUAGCGGUGAAAUGCGCAGGAUAUCAGGAAGAACACCGGUGGCGAAGGCGGUUCUCUGGGCAGUUACCUGACGCUGAGGAGCGAAACGUGUGGGGAGCGAACAGG
rnacentral:rRNA from 1 species